CACAGCUGUGAGACACUGCUUCUGGCUGGCUGCUCUGAGCUCUGCCGGUCUUCAGGGAUGCAGCCCCUCCCAGGCAAGGCAAGUUCAACUGGGUUCCUUGGCAGCCGAAGUCUACACGGACCCUGCAGGGAGCGGUGGAGAAAAGCAUAUUGAUCUUGAUGAGAAAGCUUACUCGGAUAAGUAGUCAAGUGAUAUAUUGAAAACAAAGCCAUGUAUGUGGCAAGGAAGGUAUUCAAGGAUGCACUCUUGACUUCAACGGUUCUCAGCACAUUCUCCCUGAUGGAGAUGAACUCCACCCAAAUCAGCUCCUACUUGAGACCAACCACGAAAGAGUCAAAAGAACAGUCCCAUCGUUCUGAAUCACGAGUCCUCCUCGAGAAUACCUCCUCAUCAAGAACUAUCCUAAAAUUUAUUUUCAAGGCCAACCUGGAAACAGAACAAGAAAGGCAAGCACUGAGAACGCAACAGUGAAGAUGUGAAAGCAACACCUUUGCUUCCAAGGAGCACACAUCCUGGGAUGGAGGUACCGUGGAGAAGAAAGCAAAUCAUUGAGAAGACAGCCCUUUAUAAACCAGGAAGUGGGGUUCUCACCAGACGCUAAAUGUGCCGGUGCCUCGAUCUUGGACUUCCCAGCCUCCAGAACUGUGAGAAAGUUGUUUAAGCC